rnacentral:piRNA from 1 species
UGCUAAAUGGAGAAACGAGUGGCC